AUGACUUCGGAUUCUAAAAAUACAAACUUAAACAUUGUUUUUGCCCACAUUGAUACAGAAAAGUUUUCGGAGAUGCGUAUCCAAAAUAAUAUUUUUCGGAAAUGCAUAUCCGAAAUAACAAUUUUCAGAGAUGUAUAUUCGAAUACACCUCAAAAAUAUUUACAGAUGUAUCUCCGAACUAAAUUUUGA